UUUCUCAGGUAACGUAGCUAACGCGUGAAGUUGACCGCCUGGGGAGUACGGUCGCAAGAUUAAAACUCAAAGGAAUUGACGGGGACCCGCACAAGCGGUGGAUGAUGUGGAUUAAUUCGAUGCAACGCGAAAAACCUUACCUACCCUUGACAUGCCACUAACGAAGCAGAGAUGCAUUAGGUGCCCGAAAGGGAAAGUGGACACAGGUGCUGCAUGGCUGUCGUCAGCUCGUGUCGUGAGAUGUUGGGUUAAGUCCCGCAACGAGCGCAACCCUUGUCUCUAGUUGCUACGCAAGAGCACUCUAGAGAGACUGCCGGUGACAAACCGGAGGAAGGUGGGGAUGACGUCAAGUCCUCAUGGCCCUUAUGGGUAGGGCUUCACACGUCAUACAAUGGUGCGUACAGAGGGUUGCCAACCCGCGAGGGGGGAGCUAAUCCCAGAAAACGCAUCGUAGUCCGGAUCGUAGUCUGCAACUCGACUACGUGAAGCUGGAAUCGCUAGUAAUCGCGGAUCAGCAUGCCGCGGUGAAUACGUU
rnacentral:rRNA from 1 species